GAUGUACGCUAGCGGCAGGCCUAACACAUGCAAGUCGAGGGGGAAGUUACUUUCGGGUAACUGAGACCGGCGUACGGGUGCGUAACGCGUAUACAAUCUGCCUUUCACUGGGGGAUAGCCCGAAGAAAUUUGGAUUAAUACCCCAUAGUAUAGUAAUACGGCAUCGUGAUGCUAUUAAAGCUUAGGUGGUGAAAGAUGAGUAUGCGUUCUAUUAGCUAGUUGGAGAGGUAACGGCUCCCCAAGGCGAUGAUAGAUAGGGGUUCUGAGAGGGAUGUCCCCCACACUGGUACUGAGAUACGGACCAGACUCCUACGGGAGGCAGCAGUGAGGAAUAUUGGACAAUGGUCGGAAGACUGAUCCAGCCAUGCCGCGUGCAGGAUGAAGGUCUUAUGGAUUGUAAACUGCUUUUGUAAGGGAAGAAUAAGGGCUACGCGUAGUUUGAUGACGGUACCUUACGAAUAAGCAUCGGCUAACUCCGUG
rnacentral:rRNA from 1 species